rnacentral:rRNA from 1 species
UACGUAGGGGGGCGAGCGUUGUCCGGAUUUAUUGGGCGUAAAGAGCUCGUAGGCGGUUUGGUAAGUCGGGUGUGAAAUCUCCACGCUCAACGUGGAGGGGCCACUCGAUACUGCCAUGACUCGAGUCCGGUAGAGGAGUGUGGAAUUCCCGGUGUAGCGGUGAAAUGCGCAGAUAUCAGGAAGAACACCCGUGGCGAAGGCGGCUCUCUGGUACGUGACUGACGCUGAGACGCGAAAGCGUGGGGAGCGAACAGG